rnacentral:rRNA from 1 species
AAGUCGUAAAGGUUUCCGUAGGUGAACAGCGGAAGGAUCAUUA